UACAACAUUUUUUAUCGGAUGGGCUGAAGAACAGAUAUUUAGUUGCGACUGGUGUCUUCAACAUGUUGAAAUGCUGGACUCAAGUCAUGGAUUCACUUGAUUAUUACCCACUUAGGGUUCAAAACUCUUUCUGUUUUAAUUCUAUCUCUCAAUGUUCUAGUUUGCUGCAUUUAUUUGGUUCUAUGGAGAUGAUGAUACCAUGAGAAUGAUUUCUUUCAUUUUAUGGGGUGAAUGAUUGUAGGUAAUCCAUCUUGGAAGAAACUUGGCCGACUGCUGCUGUGCUCUUUGACUUUCGUCAGUGUUGGAUUUUGAGCCUAAAUUGGUGUGAUCACCUCUUAGUCAGAACUCAUUUGGUUUACUUUAUUUUGUGAGCUCUUUCCUUCAUGUUAUAGUAAGUAUGUGUUGAAAUAUUGUAUGCUUUGGGGAAAUAUUGUUUGCUUAGGGCUGUGUUUGGCUGUUAUCCUUGAAGCAAUGCUUUGUGAAGACAAAUGCAGUGUUUUUUGAUAUUAGGU
rnacentral:lncRNA from 1 species